CACACCUGCCCCCCAUUUCCAGACACAGCACUGUUCCCCAUUUUCAGACCCACACCUGCCCCCAUUUUCAGACCCAGCACUGCGCCCCAUUUUGGGAUCCCAGUUCUGCGCCCCAUUUUCAGAACCACACCUGCCCUCAUUUUCAGACCCAGCACUGCGCCCCAUUUUGGGAUCAUUUUCAGACCCACACCUGCACUCGCUUCCAGACCCACACCUGCCCCCCAUUUUCAAACCCAUCACUGCGCCCCAUUUCCAGACCCAGCCCUGCCCCCCAUUUUCAGACCCACACCUGCACUCAUUUCCAGACCCACACCUGCCCCCCAUUUUCAAACCCAUCACUGCACCCCAUUUCCAGACCCAUCCCUGCCCCCCAUUUUGGGAUCCCACCCCUGUCCCCCAUUUUCAGACCCACACCUGCCCUCAUUUUGGGAUCCCACCCCUGCCCCCCAUUUUCAGACCCACACCCGCCCUCAUUUCCAGACCCAUCCCUGCCCCCCAUUUUCAAACCCAUCACUGAGCCCCAUUUUGGGAUCCCAUCAUCUGCGCCCCAUUUUCAGACCCACACCUGCCCCCCAUUUUCAAACCCAUCACUGCGCCCCAUUUCCAGACCCAUCACUGCGCCCCAUUUUGGGAUCCCAGCUCUGCACCCCAUUUUCAGACACAGCACUGCACUCAAUUUUGGGGCACAGCACUGAGCCCCAUUUUCAGACCCAUCCCUGCCCCCCAUUUUGGAAUCCCACCCCUGCCCCCCAUUUUCAGACCCACACCUGCCCUCAUUUUGGGAUCCCACCCCUGCCUCCCAUUUUCAGACCCACACCCGCCCUCAUUUUCAGACCCACACCUGCCCCCCAUUUUCAAGCCCAUCACUGCGCCCCAUUUCCAGACCCAUCACUGCGCCCAAUUUUGGGAUCCAACCCUUGCCCCCCAUUUUCAUACCCACAUCUGCCCUCAUUUUCAGACCCAUCGCUGCGCCCCAUUUUCAGACCCAUCCCUGCCCCCCAUUUUGGGAUCCCACCCCUGCCCCCCAUUUUCAGACCCACACCUGCCCCCCAUUUUCAAACCCAUCACUGCGCCCCAUUUUCAGACCCAUCACUGCGCCCAAUUUUGGGAUCUCAUCUCUGCGCCCCAUUUCCAGACCCACCCCUGCCCCCCAUUUCCAUCCCUGCGCCCCCCGGCGCCUCUCGCAGCCACCCGGGCGCCUCGCUUGGCCCCGCGCCGGGCUCUGGCCGCGUCCCCGUCCCCGUCCCCGUCAUUGUCCCCGUCCCGCGCGUGCCGCCGCUCCCGGGGCUGACCCGGUGA
rnacentral:lncRNA from 1 species